GGUUAACAAUUUGGAUCAUUUUGGAAGAUACAUACGCCGCGCUUUUCAAAGCGGACAGACGUGCCCUUGUCCAACUGAAACGAACACACGUGUCCUGUUGAACUUGAAAAAAGACGAAAUUAUUUUAAAAAGAUCAUGGUAACUCGUGAAGCAACAUCUCAGAAUUGAAUCGGGGAGUUGUGUAUUUGCUGGCAAUCCGGGCCUGCUUGGAUCAUUUUGGAAGAUACAUACGCCGCGCUUUUCAAAGCGGACAGACGUGCCCUUGUCCAACUGAAACGAACACACGUGUCCUGUUGAACUUGAAAAAAGACGAAAUUAUUUUAAAAAGGUAUAUUGUUGCUAAAUAAUAGAUUUUUUUUUAAUUAAAAUAUUUGACAGAUCAUGGUAACUCGUGAAGCAACAUCUCAGAAUUGAAUCGGGGAGUUGUGUAUUUGCUGGCAAUCCGGGCCUGCUUGGAUCAUUUUGGAAGAUACAUACGCCUGCGCUUUUCAAAGCGGACAGACGUGCCCGUGUCCCACUUGACAAAGGCGGAAUUAUUUUAGGAAAGACCAUGGCAACUAGUAAAGCAGAAUCCGAGAAUUCAAUCGGCGGCUGUAUGUUGACUGACAAGAAUAUAAUUGCUGUUAAUCCG